CCCGCACAAGCGGUGGAUGAUGUGGAUUAAUUCGAUGCAACGCGAAGAACCUUACUACCCUUGACAUGUCCGGAACUUGCCAGAGAUGGCUUGGUGCCCGAAAGGGAAUCGGAACACAGGUGCUGCAUGGCUGUCGUCAGCUCGUGUCGUGAGAUGUUGGGUUAAGUCCCGCAACGAGCGCAACCCUUAUCAUUAGUUGCUACGCAAGGGCACUCUAAUGGGACUGCCGGUGACAAACCGGAGGAAGGUGGGAUGACGUCAAGUCCUCAUGGCCCUUAUGGGUAGGGCUUCACACGUCAUACAAUGGUCGGUACAGAGGGUUGCCAAGCCGCGAGGCGGAGCCAAUCCCACAAAGCCGAUCGUAGUCCGGAUUGUUCUCUGCAACUCGAGAGCAUGAAGUCGGAAUCGCUAGUAAUCGCAGGUCAGCAUACUGCGGUGAAUACGCUCCCGGGUCUU
rnacentral:rRNA from 1 species